AUUGAACGCUGGCGGUAUGCUUAACACAUGCAAGUCGAACGGUAACAGGCCUUCGGGCGCUGACGAGUGGCGGACGGUGAGUAACGCGUAGGAAUCUGCCUCAUAGUGGGGACAACGUGGGGAAACACACGCUAAUACCGCAUACGCCCUACGGGGAAAGCGGGGAGUCUUCGGACCUCGCGCUAUGAGAUGAGCCUGCGUUAGAUUAGCUAGUUGGUAGGGUAAAGGCCUACCAAGGCGACGAUCUAUAGCUGGUCUGAGAGGACGAUCAGCCACACUGGGACUGAGACACGGCCCAGACUCCUACGGGAGGCAGCAGUGGGGAAUAUUGGACAAUGGGCGCAAGCCUGAUCCAGCAAUACCGCGUGUGUGAAGAAGGCCCUAGGGUUGUAAAGCACUUUCAAUUGGGAGGAAAACCCUGCCGGUCAAUACCCGGCAGCUUGACAUUACCUUUAGAAGAAGCACCGGCUAACUCCGUGCCAGCAGCCG
rnacentral:rRNA from 1 species